AUGGAGUGGAGCUGGAUAACUUUCUUCCUCAUGUCACUAACUGCAGGUGUUCACUCCCAGGAUCAGCUGCAGCAGUCUGGACCUGAGCUUGUGAGGCCUGGGAGCUCAGUGAAAUUGUCCUGCAGGGCCUCUGAUGGUAUCGAUUAUUACUUUAUUCACUGGUUGAAGCAGAGGCCUGGACAAGGCCUGGAGUGGAUUGGAAGGAUUGAUCCUGAAAAUGGUAAUACUAAAUACAAUCAGAAAUUCCAGAGCAAGGCCACACUGACUGCAGACACAUCCUCCAGCACAGCCUACAUGAAUCUGAGAAGCCUGACAUCUGAAGACUCUGCAGUCUAUUACUGUGUAAGACACAGUGUUGCAAUCACAUACUGA